rnacentral:tRNA from 1 species
GGUGGCUCAGUGGUAGAGUGCUUGCCUUGCAUGCACGAGGCCUUAGGUUCCAUUCCUCAGCACCA